rnacentral:rRNA from 1 species
AUUGAACGCUGGCGGCAUGCUUUACACAUGCAAGUCGAACGGUAACAGGCCGCAAGGUGCUGACGAGUGGCGAACGGGUGAGUAAUGCAUCGGAACGUGCCCAGUCGUGGGGGACAACGCAGCGAAAGCUGCGCUAAUACCGCAUACGAUCUAUGGAUGAAAGCGGGGGACCGUAAGGCCUCGCGCGAUUGGAGCGGCCGAUGUCAGAUUAGGUAGUUGGUGGGGUAAAGGCUCACCAAGCCAACGAUCUGUAGCUGGUCUGAGAGGAAGACCAGCCACACUGGGACUGAGACACGGCCCAGACUCCUACGGGAGGCAGCAGUGGGGAAUUUUGGACAAUGGGCGCAAGCCUGAUCCAGCAAUGCCGCGUGCAGGAAGAAGGCCUUCGGGUUGUAAACUGCUUUUGUACGGAACGAAACGGUCCUGGUUAAUACCUGGGGCUAAUGACGGUACCGUAAGAAUAAGCACCGGCUAACUACGUGCCAGCCGCCGCUGUAA